GAUGAAGAACGUAGCGAAAUGCGAUAAGUAAUGUGAAUUGCAGAAUUCAGUGAAUCAUCGAAUCUUUGAACGCACCUUGCGCCCUUUGGCCAUUCCGAAGGGCAUGCCUGUUUGAGUAUCAUGAACACCUCAACUCUUUAUGGUUUUCCAUGAUGAGCUUGGACUCUGGGGGUUUUGCUGGCUCACAGUCGGCUCCUCUAAAAUGGAUCAGCUUACCAGUGUUUGGUGGGUAUCAUGGGUGUGAUAACUAUCUACGCUUGUGGUUUUUCCACCAGGUAACCUUCAGCAGUGGAGGUUCGCUGGAGCUCAUAGAUGUCUCUCCUCAGUGAGGACAGCCCUUUGAAUGUUUGAUCUCAAAUCAGGUAGGACUACCCGCUGAACUUAAGCAUAUCAAUAAGCGGAGGA
rnacentral:misc_RNA from 1 species